rnacentral:rRNA from 1 species
CGCACGGCGCACGGGUGCGUAACACGUGGGUAACCUGCCCUCCAAAGGGGGAUAACCCGCCGAAAGGCGGGCUAAUACCGCAUGACAUUCCGGUGGCUUCGGCCGCUGGAAUCAAAGCCCGCAAGGGCGUUGGAGGAGGGGCCCGCGGCCGAUUAGCUUGUUGGCGAGGUAACGGCUCACCAAGGCUUUGAUCGGUAGCCGGUCUGAGAGGAUGGCCGGCCACACUGGAACUGAGACACGGUCCAGACUCCUACGGGAGGCAGCAGUGGGGAAUCUUGCGCAAUGGGCGAAAGCCUGACGCACCGACGCCGCGUGGGGGAUGAAGCUUCUCGGAGUGUAAACCCCUUUCGACCCGGACGAAACGCCCGCAAGGGCUUGACGGUACGGGUAUAAGAAGCCCCGGCUAACUACGUGCCAGCAGCCGCGGUAAGACGUAGGGGGCCAGCGUUGCUCGGAAUUACUGGGCGUAAAGGGUUCGUAGGCGGUGUGGUAAGUCGGAAGUGAAAUCUCUGGGCUUAACUCAGAGGCUGCUUUCGA